GACGAACGCUGGCGGCGUGCUUAACACAUGCAAGUCGAGCGGUAAGGCCCUUUCGGGGGUACACGAGCGGCGAACGGGUGAGUAACACGUGGGUGACCUGCCCUCAGCUCUGGGAUAAGCCCGGGAAACUGGGUCUAAUACUGGAUAUGACUCCACGGUGCAUGCCGUGGGGUGGAAAGCCUUGUGCGGCUGAGGAUGGGCCCGCGGCCUAUCAGCUUGUUGGUGGGGUGAUGGCCUACCAAGGCGACGACGGGUAGCCGGCCUGAGAGGGCGACCGGCCACACUGGGACUGAGACACGGCCCAGACUCCUACGGGAGGCAGCAGUGGGGAAUCUUGCGCAAUGGGCGAAAGCCUGACGCAGCGACGCCGCGUGAGGGAUGACGGCCU
rnacentral:rRNA from 1 species